AGAGUUUGAUCCUGGCUCAGAAUCAACGCUGGCGGCGUGCCUAACACAUGCAAGUCGAACGAGAAAGUGGUAGCAAUACCAUGAGUAAAGUGGCGCACGGGUGAGUAACACGUGACUAACCUACCCUGGAGUGGGGGAUAACUGAGGGAAACCUUAGCUAAUACCGCAUAAUACCCACGGGUCAAAGGAGCAAUUCGCUUUGGGAGGGGGUCGCGGCCGAUUAGUUAGUUGGCGGGGUAACGGCCCACCAAGACGAUGAUCGGUAUCCGGCCUGAGAGGGCGCACGGACACACUGGAACUGAAACACGGUCCAGACUCCUACGGGAGGCAGCAGUGGGGAAUUUUGCGCAAUGGGGGAAACCCUGACGCAGCAACGCCGCGUGGAGGAUGAAGUCCUUCGGGACGUAAACUCCUUUCGAUCGGGACGAUUAUGACGGU
rnacentral:rRNA from 1 species